rnacentral:rRNA from 1 species
UGGGGAAUAUUGCACAAUGGGGGAAACCCUGAUGCAGCGACGCCGCGUGAGCGAAGAAGGCUUUCGAAUCGUAAAGCUCUGUCCUAUGGGAAGAUAAUGACGGUACCAUAGGAGGAAGCCCCGGCUAACUACGUGCCAGCAGCCGCGGUAAUACGUAGGGGGCAAGCGUUGUCCGGAAUCACUGGGCGUAAAGGGUUCGCAGGCGGAAAUGCAAGUCAGUUGUGAAAGGCAGAGGCUCAACCUCUGUAAGCAAUUGAAACUGUAUUUCUUGAGAUGUGGAGAGGCAAGUGGAAUUCCUAGUGUAGCGGUGAAAUGCGUAGAUAUUAGGAAGAAUACCGGUGGCGAAGGCGACUUGCUGGACACAAACUGACGCUGAGGAACGAAAGCGUGGGUAGCAAACAGG